CUACAGUACACUCUGAAUAUGUCUCUUGAUCACUUCUAGACCCCAGCUAAGAUUCUCUCUCUGUCAUCAUGACCCUGCAUUUCUCUGCCUCACUCAAUUAUUCCAAGAGCCCACAGCUGGCCUUGAGCUUUGUGCUGACGUUGUGGCUGGGCUGAAGUAUACGCUUUGUCCUCCUCCUCUUCAUGAAAAGAGUAACCUGCUGCUGGAGGCAGAGCUGAACAUAGAUCCUGAAUGUAGGCAUGACGUGGGAGCCUCGAUGCUUCCUUCCACUACCAAGCCCGAAACAGGCUGCUCUACAGGGCACUGGAUACACUGGCCCAUCCCAGGAAAUCUACAGCACAAAUGAAGAGAUGAGGCAGGUAAAUAUAAAAAGACAAUUAACAACACAAUGGAAAAUGUGAACUCCGUGAGAUGAUAAGUGGGUUACCCAAAGAGUGUAAUAGGAAAUCAAGAGAGACAGGGGCCAUCACAAUCAGGAAAGGCAUCGCUGAGCAAUAACAAUUUGAAAUGGAUCGUGAAGGAGUAGGAUUCUGGUAGAUGAUAACAGCUGGAUAGUCCAACACAGAGGGAGGCAGGGUCGGGUAGGGGACAGAGAGGCAGUGGAGAGAGAAUAAGUAAGGAAAGAUUUUAGAAACUGCUGUUACUGUUCUGGGGCUCAGAAGAGACUCUCUUGAACCCAGCAAUCUCUCUGUUUGCAAACUUACACUCAUUCAUUCACUCAAAUGGGCAUGCAGUUAUUAUACACCUAGGAUUCUGCAAGCUUAUAGGAUAAGAUUUUAAAUCAAACCAAGGAAAUAAAAAACAUUUAAAGAGUAAAGGCAUGAUUCAUAAUAGUCAGCUCUUUUACAGUUUGAGCUAUUUAAGUUUGAAACUCAAGAAAUUACAUGUUUAAGUGCCUAAGCAGUCUUGAGUUGACUUUUAAUUAACCUCUUUUGCCUUUUCUCAUCUAGGAAAAUUGAAAAAUAUUUUUAUAGUCCAACAGAAACUUACCUUAUAAAAGAAUUACGCAAAUUUGAAAGUCACUUAUAAUAAUCUUUCAAAACAUGAUGUUUGCAGCUAAAUGAAGCCAAAUUGUAUUUAUUCCUUAUCAGUCUUAGUUAUCUUGGUAUCUCUCUCUUAUUAAUAAGAUUCAGACAAAGCCUAGCCUCCCAGUGCAAAGAAAAAGUGAAAACCACAGUGAUUUAAAAAUGAUUUUCUCUAAUCAAGCCACAUCUCAUUAUUCAUGAUUCCUUUUUUUAGAUUUUAAUGUUUGCAGAUGCUUUUUGUGGGAAAGAUAUUUAAAACAUGUCCUCCCAAGUGUGCACCCACCUCUUCAUGCAGAUUAUUCUUCCUCUGUCCUUCUGGGUUGGAGGGGAGGAUUUAUUUAUUCAGCUUAACCUGAAUCUUAGCAAAGAAAAAGAGGGCAUUCCCUUUUCUUUAUACCACCCCCUUUUCAAAAGAACAAUAAUAGGUUUGCCUAAAAACAGAUACAGAGGCUGUGCUAUUCAAUUUUCAUUUUUAUGAUGGUAAGUGGAGUCACCUAGCCUUCUUGGCACCCUAAAUAAUGAGGUUCUUACACCUCCCAUGAUGACUGGUCACCAAAAAGGAUUCCCUAUUGUUUCAGUCUGGGUAGGCUAGGCCGUGCUGCAGUAACAAAUAAACUUUAUGAUCAUGGCGGCUUAGCACAGCAGAAGUUGAUUUCUUCCACACACUGAGUCUAACGCGGUUUGCCUGGGAUGCUCCUCCAUCCAGUGACUCAGGGAUCCAAGCUCUCUUCAUCUUAUAAUAUAGCCUCCUUAACAUGUCACUUCUAAGGUCACUUGAGCCUGGCGAGAGAGAGGAAAGAAGCACACCAGCUUGUAACUGCCUCAGCCUGGAAGUAACAUGUGUUAUUCUGUUUCAGAUUCAUUGUCCAGAAGGAGUCACUUGGCCUCAACCUAAUAGCAAGGCAGAGUGGAAAUGAGGGAGAAUGCAUGGAAUAUUUGGUGAGAAUUAACCAUCUCUGCCUCAGUUACAUGAUUAGCUACAUUUUGUUCUAUGCUAAGCCAAGUCCAGAAGAAGCACUAGGAGAAUGGAGAAUUUCAGCAUAUUAAAAUCAUUGUCCAGAAGUAACCAGGCAUACAAAGUAUACACGUUCUGGAGACAGAGCACACUUAUUGCCUGGCUUGCCACCUUCCAGCAAUAAGAACUUCGGCAAAUCCCACCCUCUGAGCCUCAAUGUCUUCAUCUGUAAAAUGGAAAGAAUACAAACAUAGCAAGGCAGUUGGGAGGAUUAGAAGAAAUGACUGGGAAAGAUCUGGAAAAGUGACUAGCAAAGACUAUGUUUUAAAAGUAGCAAUUAUUAUUAUUGUGUUUUAGUGAUAAUAAUAAAAUGAUGAUAUCAUUAUCAUUAUGCAAAAUAAUUAGUUUGUUAUAUUCAAUUUACCAAAAAUAAUGAGAACAAUUUUGAAAUGCAAGCAUCUCUGAGACUUCCUAGGGGAGUUCCAAAUCAGCUUUGACCCUGCAUUUAAUUUACUUUUAGCAUAGAAUGUAGCAUAUUAUUACCUUUAGAAUUUCUCAUUUCAGAUGAAAAAAAAGUCAAGCUUUUAGAGUAAUUGCAAAUUUUUUAAAGAGACCUCAGUGAAAGCAGAGAGGUGAGUUUCCAUGGCAAUCUCUGAACAACGCAAAGGGAAGGGAAGAAGAGGGGAGCAUUUAAUGAGCACUUACAUGAUGUUAAGCAGUGUGCUUGGCACUUUACGGAAAAUAUCUGUCUAAAACACGGGAAAAUGCUGUGAGGUCAUGGUUUUAGGGAAGAACAAGCGGACUCCAAGGUAGAGAGACUUACCUCAGUUAACCGUUUAGAAUGUGGCCCAAAUGGGGUCUGGCCCUCCUUUGCUGCACCGUUGAGUUUCCUGCGAUUGCACCUUCUUUCUGCUGCUCACGCUCUAUGCCCCAUGUUUCCCAGGCUUAUUCCUCUUUGUUCCCAGACUUCCUCAAGGCUUCCCCAGGGUUAAUAUACAAACCUCCCUCUCCAGCCCGAUCUCUCACCAGCACCUCAGGCCCCUAUUUCCUUCUGACAAUGAGAUAAAUAUCCUUAGAUAGAUUAUCUUUCCUACUCAGAGAGAGUCUUCCUUGUGGCAGAAAGCCUAUGAGAAAAGUUGAAAGAGUGAUGGCAGGGUGAAACCACCAUGCUACAACCAGCCUACUACGGACCAGCUGUGCAAGAAUCAUCAACGGAAGCCAAAUCUGGGGGGAAGUUUGACGAGGGGCAGAAUAUCUGCGUGGUCUCAAAGGCUCUCUGCACAGAUUGCUUGUUAGCUGAAAGGCGAAAAACAGUAACUGCACAAUGGAGAAAUGGGAUGAGACUUGGUGUGAUCAAAAUUGACCUUAGCAGAGAGGAGCGGAUGGACAUCACAUGCCCCUGGACGUGAUGCAUUGAGAAGGAAACCCCAUCACCUAUGAGUAACUUGAAUCUAAUCACAAGGAAACAUCAGACAAACCCACACUGAAGAACAGUCUACAGCCGGCCUCGAUUCUUUAAAAACGUCUGGGUAUGAAAGUGAGAAGGACUGAGGAACCUUCUAGAUUAAAGGAGAGUAAACAGACAUGGCCACUAAAUGGAGCAGAUCCUGUACUGGACAUGUAAGUGCUUAAAGGACACUAUUGGGACAAUUGACAAACAUGGGAUAUUGGAAGGUAAAUUAGAUGUAAGUAUUGGAACAAUGUUAAGUUUCCUAAAUGUAACAAGAUUGUGGUUAUUUAAGAGAAUAUUCUUAUUGUUAGGAGUUACACACUGAAAUAUUAAGAAGUAAAAGGGCAGACUGUAUGUAACUUUCAAAUGAUUCAGAAAAACAAAUAAUCAUUUUAGAAUUUAUAAUUUACACACAGGUAAGUAUGUAUAUGCAGAUCUAUGUGUCUCUAUAAAUGUUUGUUUAUACAUAUAUAGAGAGAGAGAGAUGAUAAAACAAAUGUGGCAAAAUGGUAAAAAUUGGUGAAUCUGGUAAAAGUACAUCCAGAAGUUUUCCAGAGAAAGAGACUAUAUUUCCAGCAAUUAAAUGAGCUUUAGAAGUUUAAACAAAUUGAAGUUUCUAUUAAUAGCUAGCAAUUACUGUUUGCCCCUUGUUUGCUAUGGGUUCUCCUAGGCAGGUUAUCGGUAUUCUUUCUAAACUUUCUUAAGAGCUCUGGAUCUGGAAAUUAUGUCUUCAUUUUCAUGUUUAGAUAUGAGGAAAGUGAAACAGGCUACUCAAUGCAAGAUGUGGUGGAGUCCUGGAUUUGAAUUUGUUUUGGGUUCACUUCCUUUCACUGUGAUGUCAGGAGCCUUCAGGUACUCAUGGGCCAUAUGGAGAGCGGUGAAGGAAGAUAGACAAGCAACUAGAUACCGUAGUGUGGUGUUAAAUUCUUCCAACCAGUGUUUAUUGAACAUCUGCUAGGUUCCAUGAGUUACACUAAGCUCUCUGGGACCAGAGCUGUGGACAGCAGAGACCCGGGCCUUGCCUCCCAGAACUUCCACUGCAGGGGAUGUGAUGGACACUAGUGAGCAUAAGCGCUACGGAAGCACAAGGAGGGGCAUCUCAUCCAGACCAAGAGGGUAAGGCAGGCCUCUCAGAGGGGAGGUGACUGCUGCCAUCACGGAUUUUCAGAGAUGGGAGAACCUGUGAAAUCUUGCUUAUCCCUGUGUUCUAAAGACCUGGCACAUAGGCAUUUCCCUAACUAGUGAAUCUGGAAAAAGGACAUACAGGUGUUCUCUCUUGUGUAUAGCAUGUACUACUCCUAAUUGAUAGGAUGAGUGAGUGAAUGAAUGAAUGAAUGAGUGAGUCAGUGAAAGAGUGAACAAAUUUCCACCUGUAACUGCAAGGAACCCAGUGGGACGAGCUCUCCCAGGAGGUUAUUCUCUCUCUCAUCCUUCCAAGGUCACCAGAGUGAGUGGGUCAGCUCCAGCAAGUCUUUCCCUCUUUGAUUGGGCAGUGAGAAGGAUUUGGGGGCGGCAGCAUGGUGACUAACCAUAGCCAUGGGGGUUCCUGCUGCCCCUGCUUCUGUGUUCUGAUUUCAGAGGAGAUGAAACGCUUUAUUAAGAAAAGCCAUUUAGGUCUCUCUCUUUUCCUGAGUUGCUCAACCUUUUUCAGACCCCGAUAUUCACAGAGGAGAACAAAGCCGCCUUCCCGAAGCUGUACUUUGGGUUUUGUUCUUGCUGAAGCCAUGAGAAGCCAGCAGCCCGCGUGCCUCUGUAGGUCAGAAACAAGGGCCCUUUGGCUCUGUCCAAAGAUCAUAAUCUUCGUAGUAACAAAGCAAUAUGCUUUCAGUUUUACUCAGUGCUUUCUCUUUCAUGAUCUCAUUUCAUUUACAGAGCAGACUUACGGAAUGUUGGAGACCCUGAUGGCUACAAUACUUGGGGAUUUCCACACCCUCUUUGGUGAAGUCCCAGGAAACUGUGAAGGAGCCAGGGGCCUGCCCUGUCGGGAGGAGCCCCCCUCCUCGGGGCAGGAAGCCGAGCUGGCUCAUUUCUCUGCCCUUUGCUCAGCCAACCAUGCCAACUGAGCUGCUUGCUUGCGCUUGUCCCAUAUAUUGCAGUUCCAGUGACAUUUCUCUUGAAAAGUAGAUCUUAUAGCUGGAAACAAAAGUUUGGAGACUAUUGAUCAGUGGCAAUACCUUCAUAUUUUUGGUAAAGAAAUGCAGGUCCAGAAAAGGAAAUCAUUGGUUUAAAAUCACAAAGUUAACAAGUAGCAGAGCAGAAACUAAGCUCCUGUCCUGGGUAUCAUUUCGGUUUCUACUCUAGGGCAUUCGAUUGCUGCAUCUGGCAAAACCAGUCACAGGAAAUGGAAAGGUCCAAUGUUCUGGCCCAAAAGGAGAGAAAAAUGACAAUAUUUUUUUUUAAAUCCCUGAAAGCUGAGGGUUCUGGCAUGCCCCUCCUCCCGUGUGCCUAUUGGGUCUGUGUUCCCUGAUGCUGAGAAGGCCCGGUGAGUCACCCCUCCCUCCCAGAGCCUCACUUUCCUCCCCGGAAACUGACCUGGGGAAGGUGGCUCACCACCAUCUCUUCUGGAUUCCAAAUGUGCUUCAGGUUAGGAAAUAACUAGCAACGUUUACCCCCGUCCUGACUAACUAAAGAUUGAAUACCAGGCUGAACUGAAAUCAUGGAUGGGAACAGUUUCUUUCUAAUGUAAAACCAUAAGAAGAACUCCUUAUGAUGUCCAAGUUGCUCCCAGCUGCGGUGCCAGGGAGCACAGAAAGACCUACAAUCACCUUCCCGGGAAGGGAGUCCAUUCCCACCCCCACCUCUCAUGCUUUCAAAAGCCACAGAAGGGAGAAAGACCCUAAGCUUCAUGAGGUUCCUUUGAGAAGGGGAACUCAGGUCUAUUUUAGCCCCUCCCUGUGAAGAAAUGGAGGGCUGAGUGGCACUCCCUGAGACCACUGCCACCAGAGUGACACUGCCUGCCAUCUAGAGGCACUAGGGCAGGAAAGGGAGGCCAGCAUGGUGGCUGAAGCUGAAUCACCAGCUCCAGGAGGGCAAAGGGUCAAUUACUUGCAAGCAUCAGCAGACUCAACACACUUUCGAACACAUCUCUUCCUCCUGUAGAAAAAAAUGAUGUUGCCUUAUAGCUUCCUCACCUCUAACUCCUUGGAAUGGAUUUCAUGCUAUCUGUUCCUUCCAUGCCAGUAAUCUCUCUCUCUCACUCUCUCUCUGGCCAAAAGAAUACCACUUUUUCCUGUUCAAACCUUGCAGAGUGCACCAAUUAUAUAUGUUAAAAAUGAUGACAACAGUGAAAUUACUGAAAACCAUAAAAAGCAAUUAAAAACUAAAACCUUGAAGUGCUGAUGCUCCAUGAAAUUAUACUGAUUUGAUAGAUUCCACAGUUGGACAUUGCCUUCCUCUGUCAUGUGAACAAAAUGUUAUCUUUUCAUUUUAAAAGCAGUGAUUAUAUCGGUAUUUUUUUAAUGACAUCUAUGGGUUGUUUCCUUUCUGUAAAUAUAGAAUGUUCAUUUGCAUAGUCACAAAGGAAAUUAGGAAAUGUCUACUCAAUUUUUACAGCUCAUGACGUGUACUAAUAUUCCCAGUUUCUUUUCUACUCUGCCUGGUUGAGCAAAAGAUAAAUUUGUGUCGCUGUUGUUUGUCAUAUUGCAAGAUGAUAAUGUUUACCAAAUAAGCAAAUGAAACGACCUAUCAAAUUUACAAAUGAACUGUAGGUUAGAGUUGACCAAAUGCCGUCACAUUUUUUUUUUUAAUGUACUUGUUUUGAAAUUAACCUAGGUUUUACUCUACUCUCUCACAGCUGCUGAAUCUGUGAACUUGAGCGUGUUACCUUACCUCUCUGAGCCCCACUUUCCGCAUAUGUAAAAUGGAGAUAGUACUAGUAUUCAUGGGAUCGUGGGGUGGACUGAGCAAGAAAAUAUGCAGUUUAGUGUGAUGCAUGCACUAUAGAGUAGGCCCUCAAUAACUGGGAUUUCCUUUAAUUUCACUAGAACCAUGCAUUGACCUGAUGAGGUUUGGAGUACAGGUGGCAAAUGUUGUAAUUCCUGCUCUGCAGUGGAGAUGACUGAACUCAGAGAAAUGAAAUGAACUGACCCAGAUCUCACAAAUGACUAAGUAUCACUUUAAACCAUUGGUUCUCUGGGCUAGCCCGGUGGCUAAGUGAUUAAGUUCACGAACUCUGCUUAGGUGGCCUAAGUUUUGCUGGUUCGGAUCCUGGGCAUGGACAUGGCACCGCUCAUCAGGCCAUGCUGAGGUGGCAUCCCACAUGACACAACCAGAGGCACUCACAACUAGAAUAUGCAACUAUGUGCUGGGGGUGCUUUGGGGAGAAGAAUAAGAAGAAAAAAGAAGAUUGGCAACUGAUGUUAGCUUAGGCACCAAUCUUUAAAAAAAAAAAAAACACACUGGUUCUUGAUCAAGGAUAAUUUUGCCUCCAGAGGACGGUUGGCAAUGUUUGGAGACUGGAGAUUGUCACAAUGGGUUCCUAUAGGUUCAAUGGAGAUCAAGAUCCAAGCUUGGCCUACUUUCCACACGACUGAGGUAGAGACAACUCAGGGUACGAUAUAUUGAAUGUUGAAAUAUUCCUCUUCCGGCCCCAGCAAAGUUUGGAAAAGAGAUCAGUGGCAGAAACAGACUGAGAAAAUAAGAUGGUGUGGUCCACAUUCCUCCCCAGUUUGGGGUUUGGCCCGGGCAAGAGUGAGGGCUUUAAAAACAUUCAAAAAGGUUUGGGGGAACUCAAAACAUAAGGAAGAAACUGAUGACAUGAUUCUCCAAGCAGAGCUUCAGAAAGCUGUCAGCCCACAGGAGAAAUACUUCAUGUGGCCACAUUCAGCACGGACAGAAGUGAGGUUGAACUAUUGGUAGAGGGAGAAAGCAGGACUGUGGGCCUGAGAAAGCAUCACUGACUCUCCAAGGCCUGGGAGAAAGUUAUAGGGGUCUAGAAUUUCACCACUGGUAUAAGGAGGGGAUGGAAUAUUACUGAGAGUGCUGAUGGCUUACCAGAGUCAUGACUUGAAAGAGGACACAGUGUGUGAGAACUCUGGUCCCUCAGUAGAAAAGCCAGGACCUUGAACUCCAGUCAUGGCAGUCCAGAUGCUGACCCCAGGGCAGUCUUCGGUUCAGAGUGCAUACCAGACUAGUCAUUGGCUAAUACCAGUGCAGACUCAGAUGACUCUGCAUGGAUGUAUGAGCCCAUCUUCCACAUGAACCUUGACAUCAUCUUGAAGAAAAAUAGGAGUAUGAGGAAACUAAUUCAAAGACAGGACAUUCAACUCUAAGGAAAUGCAUUACCCCAAAAAUGUCACCGGAAUUAUUGGACAAGACUCAGUUUUCCGGAUUAAACUAAAUUUAGAUUCUCCUCCAUGACCCAGUGGAGUACACAUACUAAAUAAGAAAUAGAAACAGAACGAUACUUUUUGUUCUUUUUCUUCACAUUUUAGUGUACUGUGAAUACAGAUGACCCCACAACAGAAAAAAAUAAUUAGUUGAGUUGAUGUCAAUAUAGAAGGUUCCCUAAUUUGAGAUGAGCAGAAACGCAAAAUUUUUUGUUUCUCUAAAUGAAAGAGGAAAAUCAGGUUAAUAUCUGAUGGGAAAAGAGACUGUCCUUUGGAAGAAGGCCAAGCCCUCCUGAGCCUGUGGAUGCUUGAUCUUGUAUUUUGAGUCUACCUUUUCCUCCUCUUUAUCUUUGAGGUUGAUUCUCAUUGCCUGCCCCAAACUCUGUCUACUGGCCUGUUCAUUGUUGACUUGCCAGUUCCCUGACUAGGAAGGGCCUGACUCCAGUAAGAGCUGCCAAUUGUAGACCCAGGGCUUAUGAUUAGGGUUGCUAGAUAAAAUAUAGGAUGCACAGUUAUGCAUUUCAUUUGAAUUGCAUGUAAACAACAAAUAAUUUUUUGUAUAAGUGUAUCCGAAAUGUUCCCUACAAAUAUUGCAUGAAACAUGCUUUUACUAAAAUAAAAUAUUGUUCAUCUCAAAUUUAAAUGUAACUAGACAUUCUAUAUUUGUAUUUGUUAAUCUUGCAACCCUACUCUAAGCAAUGGCAAACCUAGAUCCCAUGCCAACUUGAAGGAGAAAUGGGUAGCCACAACACCAUUCAUCCACACUGUGCCCCAUAUAGACUGAGAGACAGGGCAGACCUCACUUUUAGUACUCACAGAUGUAAAAUGUAAAUGUAAAUAUAACCAUAAAUGUAAAUAUAUUAAAAACUGAGGUUUUGGGGGAAAAGUGACCUAGAAGGUUGAAAGAGGUUGAAGCUACCCUGGGUCUCAUCAUGGAAGGAAUAGUGCCUUCUCUUCACAUCAACAUUGUUAGACCUCACAAGGAUCUCAUGGGUAGGCAUCAUUAUGACCAUUUCACAAAUGGGAAGCUAAGAUUCAAGGAGCAUAGCAACAGUGAAUCAUAGUGAAAAGUGAACUACAUUUAUAGUCAGUAAGACCAAAAUUUGAAUUUCAGCUUUACCCGGCUGUUACUACCAGAAAUAUCUUAACAUUUUUGAGUCUCUGAUUGUCAUAUUUGAGAAAAAUAAUACACAGACCACUGAGCAGAGGGAGUAUUUCAUGUAUUGAUGUAUACAAAGUACCAAAUAGCACUUAGCAAGCUACUCAAGAAAUGAAAGCCACUGGCAUUAAUUUCUAUGAGGUAAGUUUUCCAUGAACCAUGAUGCCAUGACUGAAAUCAGGGACCUGGUACAUAGUAUAGUCAUGGACACAUGGAGUUACUUAAUAAAGAAGAUUUGAAUUAAUGUCUAGUACUCAGAUAAUUCCUUCACAUUAAGCAUUGAGCUCCUCUAUUGCCCUAUUUUCAAACACAAAUAGUAAUGAGAUACAGUAGUAAUAUCUUGAAUCAUGAACUCUUUUAAUGAAUUAAAUUUAUUGAAUCAACUUUCUCAUCAACAGUAGGCUCUGGCUCAGGGACAUGCCCUGGCUGUGCUAUAAAAGUCUUCUUGGGGAGUGGACCCAAGCUUUGGUCACCUCUGAGUAAAGAUGGGUGGAGAGAGUACUAGAAGAGGGGUUAUCAUCAAGAACAAAGGCAAAGACAUGGAAAAACCUGGAGCACAAAUGAGACUAGUGAAGAUCUGUGAGUCAUUAUAAGGAUAAUUUUGAUGCAAACCACUUUGGUGGCAGAUUAUCUUCCACAGUCCCCACUUCUUUAAGAAUUAAAACAACCGCCACAGUAUUUCCCAAUGAGGCAGACUCACUGUUCAUUUGCCAUCUGGAAUCUUAGUCUUGCAAAGGAGUAAAGUUAGUGAAAUAUAUAUUUGAAUGAAACUCAGCCUCCCUCUUUUACACUGCAAUGAACAGUCAGGAGUCCUGGGAGGUGAGAGGGGGGAGGGCUGAGUGUGAGGGCCAUGAGUUCACACCACAUCUCCCCUCUGUGCUGAGGAUUGUUGCCAUGACAGCCAUUCCCAACUCCAGACUGCCUUUGGAGUCCUGCUAGGUAGGUGGCUUACUCCUGAAGUGGUUUUUGCGUAUGUGGAAAAUCAAAGUUACUACUUGCUCUUUCUUUAAUGUCCAAUGUAAUUAUAACUAUAGUAAGUGAAAUUUCUCUAAACAUUUAAACUUGCAUAACUAAUAAAUUAAAAUGUAAGCUUUACUAAUCCUCUUAUACAUUUAAAAGUUAGUUACAAACCUUAGUCAAGCUCUCUACCUAUCUCAAUAAAAGCAUAAGCCUAAUGUGCCACAUUCCCUUAACUGCUUCAAACACCUUAAAAACAGACGUGAUAUUCACAAAUUAUCAUAUUGAUUAUAAAAUGUAUUGUUAUAUUUAUACUCAACCUGUGAGAAAGUUAGUGAUCCUAUAGACUUAGUUAAUUUCUUCAUUAUUUACAUACUUUAAUAUAUUUUAAUGCAUCUUCCCAGGUUACAGUGACCUAUCAAACAAAAAGAUUAUGGUAGAACAGCUGACAUUGUUGGGACUUCCAAAGUGAAUAAAACUCUAGCAGCUAUUUCUUACCUGGGCUCCUCUUAGAAUCAAGAUUGACUCAUUGUGUCAAUGAGACCAUCCACAGCCAUGCCUUUUCCUGCAACUUGGUGUCUCUGCUGUCUUCUUUCAUCACAUCCAUGUCAUAGGACAUGUUAUAGGCUGAAUUCUGUCCUCCCAAAGAUUCAUAGCUUGAAGUCCUAACCCAUAGUUCCUCAGAAUAUAACUGUAUUUGGAGUCAGAAUCUUUAAAGAGGUAAUUAAAUGAAAGUGAGGUCAUUAUGGUGCACCCUAAUCCACUAUGACUGGUGUCUGUACAAGAAGAGGAAAUUGGGACAUAGACACAUACAGAGGGAAGAUAAUGUGAAGACACAGGGAGAAGAUGGUAUCUAUAAGCCGAGUGGAAAGGCCAGGAAACAGAUUCUCCCUCUCAGCCUUCAGAAAGAAACUGCUGACACCUUGAUCUCAGACUUUUAGCUUCUAGACUGUGAGAAAAUAAAUUUCUGUUUAAGUCUGUGGUGCUGUGUUACAACAGCCCUAGCAAACUAAUGGAGGAUGUGUAGCCUUGAUUUACAAUUUAACUCAUUAUAUAGUUUUUACAUCUCAGUAAAAUCAGUUGAGUCAUCUAGAGGUUUCAUUUUCUAGGAGACAAGGGGCUAAGUUGAACUAUCAGCUCUUCUUUCUAAAUUUUGAACAAUCCAUCAUAUGGCAACCCACUGCCAUGCUUUCCACCUAGUUCUUGUCCAUGGUCCAUUGAGGUUAUAGGCCCUUCUGCUCUUUGUGCAAUUCCCAUCCCCUUUAAGAACUAUUUUGCCUAUCCCUCUCUAUUAUGCACAGAGGUAGGUAAAAAAAUACACACAUGCAUCUGAAAAACAGAACAUCAUAUAUGUCAAUAGUCCCCUACUAAUUUUGGUUAACUUAAAAAUUGUAUUCAUUCUUCUUUUGUAUCAUAAUUAUCAUCUUUAAUGAACUUAUUUUGUCUUGGAAUGUCAUAACCUUCAUAUAGAUUCAAUUCAUUCCAACUAGCUAUGGUUAAUAUUCUGUUUUGAUAUUCAAACUGUUAUAACUUGGCAAGCAGAAGUUUUUAAAAACUAUCUCUUUUGUCUUUUCAGUAUGACCCUAGAUAUUUUUUAAAGUUUUCUUGUCUUCUGGCAGUCAAUGUAACUGAAAAUCCAUGCAAACUUUUUUCCAUCCCAAGACAUGGAAUCCAUGGAUCUCCAAGGAGUCUCGAUUCUCUCUAGCUCAAGAACCAGCUAGGAUUGGAGGAUGAGGUGUGGCUGCUCAGUGUUGAUGCCUUCCACGUGAGUGCUGGAGGACAGCAAGACGCAACUGCUGGAUCACCCUGGGGUUAGAACUGAAAAAACUAUUUCUAGUCAAGGUCAUGAAGUCCACAAUUACAUCUUUAAUUUAGCUUUAAGAAUGAUAAAUUAUUUUAUUUCCACUUUAAUAUGCCUAACUUAGAUAGAUUUUAAACCAUCACUCCAACUAUAAUAGUCUCCUUUUAUUUUUACUUUCUACGUAUUUCUCAUCCAUCACCAUUUGUAAUCAUUUUAUUGACCCUGAAGAAUUCAAAGCACCUCAAAAAUUGCCUCUAUUUAUCCUCCCUCAACUCUCAGUAUAGAUACAAAUUAAUUGAGCCCCUCAUAUACAUGUUGUGGCAUCGACGCUUUCAGGUCCCAUAGAGAUAUUUUGCAAGCUUAAGGCCUAAUUUUCUAAGGAUGUAAUGUAUAGGCUGAAUGACCUUUACCCACUCUCCUCUCCUCUCCUCUCUGGACCUUACUCAACUCAUCUAUAUUUUUUUCGAACUAAAAAAAGAAAAAGAAAUGGCCAGGUCUCAAAUUCUGUGAUUCAGGAAAGAAUUAGGUCCAGGAUCAAAUCUGCUUCAUUAACUAAAGGAUUUUUACAGGAUAAACAUGGAGGGAAGGGCAAGAGAGCUGAGGACGAUACCAUUCUUACACCACCAAACACUGAACACCACUGAGCCAUUCUUUUCCCACCUGAAGCUGCAGAUUGAAAGAGUUAAAUGGUGUAAAAGCACUUUACAAAUUUAAAGCUUGUGCAAAUUGUCUGCCUUUUUACUGCGAAACACCACUCACGAUGAUGAUUGAGUUAAUUCAGGCAUUAAGCUUUUAAGGCGCUCACCCGAGUGUCGAAAGGAAAGUCUUUACAAAGUCCACGUAUCCUGGAUUUCCAAUUCAGUGCUCUAUCCACCAGAUUAUGCAGCAUUUCAAAUACGAAAAUGAAUUCCAUGGAUGAGAAGCAAUCAUUCACCCAUGGGCCAGCCUCUCAUCUUUCCCCGCACACCUGUCGGGAGGAGAUUUGACCGGAAAGGCCCCACUUACCUGAGAUAAAGGACAGUCCACUAAGGACUGUGACGCUGGGUGCUCUGCCCUAAAGCAGGGUGGCAGACAGCUGCAUUAAAGUUGCAAGGCACGCAAGCCUUCCUGGACUGUUUUAUUCAUUCCAGUUCCCAGGGAUAACACUCCAAACUCUGAGUUAGAGGUGCACCUUUGUUCUUAUUCUAAUAUAACCAAAGAAAGCAAGCUCAUGAUACAGCAGUUUAAUUAGAGUAUGCAAAUUACUGUGCUCCCAUGUCCUCUCGUGGGCGACGUCACACCUUAUUUACAGGAGAAGAGAACACAGCUCAGAAAAGGAGGAGGAUGGAAACAAAGCAAGCAGUC
ensembl:lncRNA